AGCUGCAUCCAUGUUGCUGCAAAGGACAGGAUUUUGUUCUUUUUACGACUGCAUAGUAUUCCAUGGCAUAUAUAUAUAUACACCACAUUUUCUUAAUCCGGUCUAUCCAUGUCUUUGCUGUUGUGAAUAGUUCUGCGAUGAACAUGCAAGUGCCUGUGUCUACCCUUAACUUAAAGACCUAAGUAUAUAGUUAGCAUAGGACAGAAACUGUAAAGGUACACCUAGAAAAAUCCAUGUAACAUAAGAAAUCAAACAUCCAAAACUUACACACAUGUUAUUUGUAUCCAUAGUAACAGGAUUAUUUAUAAUACAAUGACAUAUUUUAGGUAAGAUCACAGAAAUUUCGAGCUGGUCUUUAAUUUAUAGGUGAUCUCCUUCAAACCUAGAAGCCUAGUAAAUGAUUUACUAAAAGUAAUGACCUAAGUUGAUAGCAGUCAGGGUUUUUGGAACUCAUGAAUCCUAGCUCCUUAUUGAAUAUUCUUGUCACUAUAUCAUUCUGACUUCUAGAGUUGAAAUGAAAUUAUAGAGGGGGGAUGCAUUGGAUUAACUUUGGGAAAUCUUUGUAAGCCUAAACUUCAAAUUAAACUGCAGAAGGUAAGAGAAUGAGUGUUUCAAAUAUA
rnacentral:lncRNA from 1 species